rnacentral:tRNA from 1 species
UGAGGGUUAGUGUAGUGGUAUCACGACGGGUUCUGGCCCCGUUAACAUAGGUUCGAAUCCUAUACCCUCAGCCA